UUCGCUAAGGAUUCAAUGUUCGCAUUGAGCCAACUUAAUUAUGGAAGCUUCUAAUUGAAAAGUCUACCUUUAGAUUAGAUCUCAAAUCAGGCAGGAUUACCCGCUGAACUUAAGCAUAUCAAUAAGCGGAGGAAAAGAAACUAACAAGGAUUCCCCUAGUAGCGGCGAGCGAAGCGGGAAAAGCUCAAAUUUGUAAUCUGGCGUCUACGACGUCCGAGUUGUAAUCUCGAGAAGUGUUUUCCGUGAUAGACCGCAUACAAGUCUCUUGGAACAGAGCGUCAUAGUGGUGAGAACCCAGUACACGAUGCGGAUGCCUAUUACUUUGUGAUACACUUUCGAAGAGUCGAGUUGUUUGGGAAUGCAGCUCAAAUUGGGUGGUAAAUUCCAUCUAAAGCUAAAUAUUGGCGAGAGACCGAUAGCGAACAAGUACCGUGAGGGAAAGAUGAAAAGCACUUUGGAAAGAGAGUUAACAGUACGUGAAAUUGUUGGAAGGGAAACACAUGCAGCCAGACUUGCUAUUCGGGGCAACUCGAUUGGCAGGCCCGCAUCAGUUUUUCGGGGCGGAAAAGCAUAGAGAGAAGGUAGCAAUUUCGGUUGUGUUAUAGCUCUUUAUUGGAUUCGCCCUGGGGGACUGAGGAACGCAGCGUGCUUUUAGCAUAAGCUUCGGCU
rnacentral:rRNA from 1 species